GACGAACGCUGGCGGCGUGCUUAACACAUGCAAGUCGAACGGAAAGGCGCGGCUUUUGUGGGGUGCUCGAGUGGCGAACGGGUGAGUAACACGUGAGUAACCUGCCCUUGUCUGUGGGAGAACUUCAGGAAACUGGGGCUAAUACCGGAUAGGAGCUCCUGCUGCACGGUGGGGGUUGGAAAGUGUCGGCGGUUGGGGAUGGACUCGCGGCUUAUCAGCUUGUUGGUGGGGUAGGUGCUGACCAGGGCUUUGACGGGUAGCCGGCCUGAGAGGGUGACCGGCCACCUUGGGCCUGCGAUACGCACCAGACUCCUACGGGAGGCAGCAGUGGGGAAUAUUGCACAAUGGGCGCACGCCUGUUGCAGCAACGCCGCGUGCGGGAUGCCGGCCUUCGGGUUGUAAACCGCUUUCGCCUGUGACGAAGCGUGAGUGACGGUAAUGGGUAAAGAAGCACCGGCUAACUACGUG
rnacentral:rRNA from 1 species